GACGAACGCUGGCGGCGUGCUUAACACAUGCAAGUCGAACGGAAAGGCCCUGCUUUUGUGGGGUGCUCGAGUGGCGAACGGGUGAGUAACACGUGAGUAACCUGCCCUUGACUUUGGGAUAACUUCAGGAAACUGGGGCUAAUACCGGAUAGGAGCUCCUGCUGCAUGGUGGGGGUUGGAAAGUUUCGGCGGUUGGGGAUGGACUCGCGGCUUAUCAGCUUGUUGGUGGGGUAGUGGCUUACCAAGCCUUUGACGGGUAGCCGGCCUGGGAGGGUGACCGGCCACAUUGGGACUGAGAUACGGCCCAGACUCCUACGGGAGGCAGCAGUGGGGAAUAUUGCACAAUGGGCGGAAGCCUGAUGCAGCAACGCCGCGUGCGGGAUGACGGCCUUCGGGUUGUAAACCGCUUUCGCCUGUGACGAAGCGUGAGUGACGGUAAUGGGUAAAGAAGCACCGGCUAACUACGUG
rnacentral:rRNA from 1 species